rnacentral:rRNA from 1 species
UACGAAGGGUGCAAGCGUUACUCGGAAUUACUGGGCGUAAAGCGUGCGUAGGUGGUUCGUUAAGUCUGCCGUGAAAUCCCUCGGCUUAACCGGGGAACUGCGUCUGAUACUGGUUGGCUUGAAUCCGGGAGAGGGAUGUGGAAUUCCAGGUGUAGCGGUGAAAUGCGUAGAUAUCUGGAGGAACACCGGUGGCGAAGGCGGCAUCCUGGACCGAGAUUGACGCUGAGGCGCGAAAGCCAGGGGAGCAAACGGG